CGGAGGGGCGAGCGUUAUUCGGAAUUAUUGGGCGUAAAGGGCGCGUAGGCGGCUUGUCAAGUCAAAGGUGAAAUCCCUCGGCUCAACUGAGGAGCUGCCUUUGAAACUAGCGAGCUUGAGGCCGGGAGGGGUAGCGGAAUUCCCAGUGUAGCGGUGAAAUGCGUAGAUACUGGGAGGAACACCAGUGGCGAAGGCGGCUACCUGGACCGGUACUGACGCUGAGGCGCGAAAGCGUGGGUAGCAAACAGGAUUAGAUACCCUGGUAGUCCACGCUGUAAACGAUGGGUGCUCGGUGUCGCGGGUAUCGACCCCUGCGGUGCCUUAGCUAACGCGUUAAGCACCCCGCCUGGGAGUACGGUCGCAAGGCUG
rnacentral:rRNA from 1 species